UACGGAGGGGGCUAGCGUUGUUCGGAAUUACUGGGCGUAAAGAGCGCGCAGGCGGUCGUUCAAGUCGCGUGUGAAAGCCCCCGGCUCAACUGGGGAGGGUCACGCGAUACUGAUCGACUCGAAGGCAGGAGAGGGUAGUGGAAUUCCCGGUGUAGUGGUGAAAUGCGUAGAUAUCGGGAGGAACACCAGUGGCGAAGGCGACUACCUGGCCUGUUCUUGACGCUGAGGCGCGAAAGCUAGGGGAGCAAACGGG
rnacentral:rRNA from 1 species